CUCACCCCCACCAUCUCCCUCCUGGGGCUGUGGGACCCCCGAUCCCCCAUGGUUUUGGGGUAGGGGUCUCCCAGGUCUUCACAAGUGCCCAAAUCCGGUGGCUUUUGCCCCACGUUGCAUCGUGGGGGGCGUUAACAGGGAGGUCCUGCAGCCACCUCGGCUCCUGCUGCACCCCUCGGGCUUACACACGUAUGCACACAUGCAUUCACACCUGCACAUACACGCACGCGCACCUGCACACCUGCAUGCACACCUGCACACAUACACAAACACGCACACCUGCACGCACACACAGAAAUGCAGGUCUGCAUGCACAAGCUUGACGUGCACGGCACGCAUGACGCCCCUCCGGGGGCUGCAUGACCCCAUGCAUCCCACCCCAGCCCUCGAAGCCCGGCCUGCUCAGUGCUGAGCACAGCGUGCGUGUGUGUGCACAUGCGUGUGCACACGUGCGUGGGCUGGCCCAGCCUCCAGAGCUCAGUGCCCACGGUGGGACCGUCGCCUCGCCUUGCAGACACCAUGGUCCCGCGGGCCUGCUGCCUGCUGGUGGGGCUGUGCGCCCUGCUCCCCCAUGCCACCCCCCAGCAGGACCCCCCGGGGGACCCUGAGCGCUGUGGCAUCACCUUCCACGCCCCGAACCCCUGCGGUCCACCCCACGUGCCAUCCCCUCUUGCCUCCCGCGAAGAGCUGGAGCACCUGCAGAGCCUCUUGCAGCAGAACAGGGCCACGCUGCAGGAUGUGGAGGCGGCGGCGGUGCUGGAGGAACCCCAAUCCCGGUACCAGGAUGUGAUCAAUGAGGCUCUGCCUGCCAUCCGUGGGGCCAACCAGGAAUUUGGGGAGAGCCUGGACAACGUGCGCAGGGAGCUGGAGGCUCACGUGGCCCAGAGCGAUCACCCGCAGGUGGUGGAGAAGAGGGAGAAGCUGCGCAAGGACCUCCGCCUGGUGGCCCACGUGCUGAAUCUCACCUCCCACCUUGCCCACGUCCUCGACGCCUCCUCCCAACGCCUCCAGGAUGAGCUGAGCCACCGCCUGCAGCGCUCAGCCGCCCGUGCUGCUGCUGCCCAGCCGUAGGACACGGGCAGGGCUCUGCCACUGCUAUCCAUACAGCCUCGCUUGCUGAGCUCUGAGCCCCUUUGCUUCUCCCUGAACAUGCUAUGCCCAUGCAACCAUCUGCAGCCAGCCAAAAUCAGCCAAAAUCUGAGAAACAUGGAACAUCUCAAGCUGGAAGGGAGCCCCAAGGAUCACUGAGUGCAACCCCAAAAAUCCAAACUCAGUGUCUGUCUUCAUCCAUGCUGUUCCUUUCUACAAAUGGUCGCCGUCUCCUUUGGGGCAUGGAUGGUGGUGGGGUUGGGGAUGGGCAUGGGAUGAGAUGGGCAUGGAGAUGGAGAUGGGCAUGGGGAUGGGAAUGGGGAUGGGGAUAGAGAUGGGGAUGGGGAUAGAGAUGG
ensembl:lncRNA